rnacentral:rRNA from 1 species
UUUGACCUCAGAUUAGACGUGAAAACCCGCCGAAUUUAAGCAUAUAACUAGGCGGAGGAAAAUAAAUUAACGAAGAUUUCCUUA